UCCUCGGAGUGUUAUAGCAAAUGAGAGUAGUGUAUUAUAACCAAUCACAAAAUCAGACACGUUGAACAGGGAA
rfam:Clostridium phytofermentans ISDg, complete genome.